AUGGGGUCAGACUGUGUAGGAAUUUUAGGUAACUAUAAGGACUUGGGCUCUUACUCUGAGUUUGGUAGAUGUGGAGAUGACCAGAUCCCUCUCAAGGAAAGACUAAAUGCCCCAUUGUGGGAAUGUGGUUGGCAGCAGGCUCCAGGUGUUAGUGCCUUUAAGAGCUGUCUCAGCUACAGAGCUGCUCAUUCGAAGUUAUGCCCUUCCCAGGACAGUCCAAAUCUGAGAACUUGGCAAGUUGGGUAUAUAAGGUCUGGCCAUUUCGGCUCUUCAAGUUCACUUUUACAGGCCGUAUUUGUUUUACAGGCAGAGCUGGUUGGCCAAUGCUCUGCCAGGCCUUACUGCAGCUCAACUUCUUCCUGCCUGAUACUACCCAAUUCUGCCUCCUCUUCUUUCCUUUCACAGGGAAUCUGUGAACAUCUUGAACUUCAAACACUAUCUCCACAUCUGCUUCUGGAGAUGCAGCUGGUGAUGAUGAGAUAUAAAAUGUGUUCAACAACAGUUGUGGGCUGUUCAGCUCUACCAAGAAGUGUCAGAACAGAAAAAACAACAAGUCUGACCACAGCUGAAGAAGCAAGUAUGUAAACUUCAGGCUACUCAACACAGUGCAGAGUGAUUUCACCUAAGCCACAACAGCAGCUGGUUGCCAUGAUACAAACAAGAGUUGCCACUUACCGACCACAGCUAUGUGCCAGGUAAGUCAAAUGAGGAAGAAUACCUUCAGUGUGGGGGAGAAACAGGUCUUUAGUGUCUCCUUAGUCCAGUGGCUCUCAAAGUAUAUAAUGGCAGCAUCAACAUCAGCAUUACCUGGGAACAUGUUGGAGAUGUGAAUUCUUGGGUUCCACUUUAGACAGUGAAACAGAAAUUCUGGGGACUGGCACUCUAAGUUUUAACAAACCCUCCAGGGGUUGGGUGCGGUGGCUCACGCCUAUCAUCUCAGCACUUUGGGUGGUUGAGGUGGGUAAAUCACAAGGCCAGGAGUUUGAGACUAGCCUGGCCAACAUGGUGAGACCCGUCUGUACUAAAGAUACAAAAAGUUAGCUGGGCUUAGUAGCGGGCCCCAAUAAUCCCAGCUUCUCGGGAGGCUGAGGCAGGAGAAUUGCUUGAACCAGGGAGGCAGACGUUGCAGUGAGCUGAGAUUGAGCCACUGCACUCCAGCCUGGUGACAGAGUAAGACACCAUCUCAAAAAUAAAAAUAAAAAUAAAGAAAGAAAAGAAGAGAGAAGAAAACCCUCC
rnacentral:lncRNA from 1 species